GAGUGUAUACUAUUUGGAUCUGGCUUCAGGAAUGUGCCAUAUGAUUGGAUUAACAAGCAGAAGUCUAAUCAGAACUGGCUGAGGAAAGAAGGCGAGAAGUUUCUCUUCCCUGGUGGGGGUACUAUGUUCCCCAGAGGUGUUGGUGCCUAUGUUGAUUUGAUGCAAGAUUUGAUUCCAGAAAUGCUAGAUGGGACUGUUCGAACUGCCAUUGACACUGGGUGUGGGGUGAGCCCUGAUUCAUACUAUUGUUUCUUCACGGAGUUGAUCAUAUGAACCAAUUCGAUAACCUAUUAAUCUAUUUGAUGUUUAUUCUGGAAGCUUUGAUUUAUGACCAUCACCUUUGUAUAUGUUCCCAAAAAUUGUGUCACUUAGUCUGUGUAAUUGCUUUAUUUCUAGGUUGCGAGCUGGGGAGGUGAUUUAUUAGAUCGUGGCAUACUAACAAUGUCUUUGGCUCCAAGAGAUAAUCAUGAGGCUCAAGUCCAAUUUGCAUUGGAACGCGGAAUUCCGGCGAUCCUUGGCAUCAUUUCCACUCAGCGGCUUCCUUUCCCCUCCAACUCAUUUGAUAUGGCUCAUUGCUCAAGAUGCCUUAUCCCAUGGACUGAAUUUGGUAAUUCCUCUCUUCCAUAUAAUGAUAAGUCUCAGAUGUAAAUUUGGACAAAAUUACAUUAUCAAUAAGUUGUCGCUGAGGUUCAUUGGUUGAUCAUAUACUCAAAAUUUCUUUUUAAUUUUCACUUAAUUUUUAGAGGUUUUAAGUAGUCAAGCAUCCAUUACAAUUACAGAGGUUUACCCUCUAGGUGGAACAGGAAUUCAGGUCAUCAAGCUUUUAUCUUUACAAAAGAAACAACUUAGAGUAAUUUGGCAGCUUUCAUCAAGUUUUCAAGGAAAUUAUGAAUAGCUUAAAAAUUAAGGUAGCACCAACAUAAUGUGUUUUCAGAACAUUUAUCAUUUGAACAGGUUUGUCUUUGUUUCUGAUGUUGAAUUAUGAACGAAAGGAUCAUGUUUGUGUUCUAUUUUUUUAUUUUUUUAUUUUUUUAUUUUUCCAUUUGCUGCUUUUCACCCAUGGAAAUGUCCUGUUUUCAGGUGGAAUAUACCUCCUAGAAGUACACCGCAUACUCCGCCCUGGAGGGUUCUGGGUCCUGUCUGGCCCACCUGUAAACUAUGAAAACCGUUGGCGAGGAUGGAACACAACUGUGGAGGAUCAGAAAAGUGACUAUGAAAAGUUGACUGAGUUGCUCACUUCAAUGUGCUUCAAAUUAUAUAACAAAAAGGAUGACAUCGCUGUGUGGCAAAAGUCCUCCGACAAUAACUGCUACCAACAACUUUCUAGCCCUGAUGUGUAUCCACCCAAGUGUGAUGAUGGCACUGAACCAGAUGCAGCAUGGUACACUCCCCUCCGCCCUUGUGUUGUUGUUCCUGAACCGAAGUACAAGAAACUAGGGCUGAAGUCCGUCCCCAAGUGGCCAGAACGGUUGAAUGUUGCACCAGAUCGCAUUUCAGCUAUCCAUGGUGGGAGUGCGAGUACCUUCAAGCAUGAUGACUCUAAGUGGAAGGAACGACUGAAGCACUACAAGAAGUUACUCCCUGCAAUUGGGACCGAUAAGAUCAGAAAUGUAAUGGACAUGAACACAGCUUAUG
rnacentral:lncRNA from 1 species